CCCUUAGAUGUUCUGGGCCGCGCGCGCGCUACACUGAUAAUGUCAACAAGCUUUACCUUGGCCGAUAGGUCUGGGCAAUCUUCGAACUAUUAUCGUGAUGGGGCUAGAUUAUUGCAACUAUUAAUCUUAAACGAGGAAUUCCUAGUAAGCGCGAGUCAUCAGCUCGCGUUGAUUACGUCCCUGCCCUUUGUACACACCGCCCGUCGCUCCUACCGAUUGGAUUGGCUGGUGAAGCGUUCGGAUUGUGGGUUCGGAGCGGUUCGCCGUUCUGGGCUUGCGAGAAGUUCGUUAAACCCUCCUAUCUAGAGGAAGGAGAAGUCGUAACA
rnacentral:rRNA from 1 species